GACGUAGGGCGCGAGCGUUGUCCGGAUUUAUUGGGCGUAAAGAGCUCGUAGGCGGCUUGUCGCGUCGACUGUGAAAUCCCGCGGCUCAACUGCGGGUCUGCAGUCGAUACGGGCAGGCUAGAGUUCGGUAGGGGAGACUGGAAUUCCUGGUGUAGCGGUGAAAUGCGCAGAUAUCAGGAGGAACACCGGUGGCGAAGGCGGGUCUCUGGGCCGAUACUGACGUUGAGGAGCGAAAGCGUGGGGAGCGAACAGG
rnacentral:rRNA from 1 species